CCUACGGGGGGCAGCAGUCGAGAAUCAUUCACAAUGGGGGAAACCCUGAUGGUGCGACGCCGCGUGGGGGAAUGAAGGUCUUCGGAUUGUAAACCCCUGUCUUGUGGGAGCAAAUUAAAAAGAUAGUACCACAAGAGGAAGAGACGGCUAACUCUGUGCCAGCAGCCGCGGUAAUACAGAGGUCUCAAGCGUUGUUCGGAAUCACUGGGCGUAAAGCGUGCGUAGGCUGUUUCGUAAGGCGUGUGUGAAAGGCGCGGGCUCAACCCGCGGAAGGCACAUGAUACUGCGAGACUAGAGUAAGGGAGAGGGAAGCGGAAUUCUCGGUGUAGCAGUGAAAUGCGUAGAUAUCGAGAGGAACACUCGUGGCGAAGGCGGGUUCCUGGACAUUAACUGACGCUGAGGCACGAAGGCCAGGGGAGCGAAAGGGAUUAGAUACCCUUGUAGUC
rnacentral:rRNA from 1 species